UACGAAGGGGGCUAGCGUUGCUCGGAAUUACUGGGCGUAAAGGGCUCGUAGGCGGCCAACUAAGUCGGAUGUGAAAUCCCCAGGCUUAACCUGGGAACUGCAUCCGAUACUGGAUGGCUUGAAUCCGGGAGAGGGAUGCGGAAUUCCAGGUGUAGCGGUGAAAUGCGUAGAUAUCUGGAGGAACACCGGUGGCGAAGGCGGCUCACUGGCCCGGUACUGACGCUGAGGUGCGAAAGCGUGGGGAGCAAACAGG
rnacentral:rRNA from 1 species